AUUGAACGCUGGCGGCAGGCUUAACACAUGCAAGUCGAACGAGUGGCGGACGGGUGAGUAAUGCUUGGGAAUCUAGCUUAUGGAGGGGGAUAACUACUGGAAACUGUAGCUAAUACCGCGUACCAUAGGAUGAGCCCAAAUGGGAUUAGGUAGUUGGUGAGGUAACGGCUCACCAAGCCGACGAUCCCUAGCUGGUCUGAGAGGAUGACCAGCCACACUGGAACUGAGAAACGGCCCAGACUCCUACGGGAGGCAGCAGUGGGGAAUAUUGCACAAUGGGGGCAACCCUGACGCAGCCAUGCCGCGUGAAUGAAGAAGGCCUUCGGGUUGUAAAGUACUUUCGGUGGCGAGGCGUUAACUGCAGAAGAAGCACCGGCUAACUCCGUGCCAGCAGCCGCGGUAAUUC
rnacentral:rRNA from 1 species